rfam:Planctomycetes bacterium DG_58 WOR1_52_54_8643, whole genome shotgun sequence.
GGGCCCAUAGCUCAGUUGGCUAGAGCGUACGGCUGAUAACCGUAAGGUCGGAAGUUCGAAUCUUCCUGGGCCCA